rnacentral:rRNA from 1 species
AAACAAUGACAUCUACUUACAAAAGUUGUCCGCCCGGGAACUACAAGCAUAAGCUUAAAACCCAAAGGACUUGGCGGUGCUUAAGAUCCCCCUAGAGGAGCCUGUUCUAGAACCGAUGAUCCCCGUUUAACCUCACCCCCCCUUGCCAAUUCCGUCUAUAUACCUCCGUCGUCAGCUCACCCCGUGAGGGUGCUAAAGUGAGCAUAAUUGGUACAACCCAAAACGUCAGGUCGAGGUGUAGCCUACGGGAGGGGAAGAAAUGGGCUACAUUCUCUCCCAGAGAGUACACGAAAGAUGAACUGAAAACCACAUCAGAAGGAGGAUUUAGUAGUAAGGGGAGAA